GGGGCUGCAUUUCAUAGCGGCUGCUUCUGACACUGGCAUGCGCACUGCAGCCUCAUGUCAAUUUGAGUCUUCUUGGGAACUAGGCAGCAGUCACCAUCCAAGCUAUAGCCCUCCCAGUUCCUGUUUCCGCCUGAGCCUUUCGUCCGAUUUUAUGCUAAAACAGCACCGGACCCUUUGGCUGAAUAGCGUUAGAAUCUGUGGAUCUAACUGUCCAGAGGAAUCUGAAGAGUCAAGCAAAGACAUACCGCACUGUUGAGUACACCCAGGACUCCUUGACAGCUCUUCGCGAAGGAAGGAGAGGAG